AUUGCACUCUGGCGGCAGGCCUAACACAUGCACGUCGAGCGAGCUGCGGACGGGUGAGUAAUGUAUGGGGACUGCCCGCUAGAGGGGGAUACCUACUUGACACGGUAGCUCAUACCGCAUACUAUCGGAUAACCCAUAUUGGAUUAGCUAGUAGGUGAGGUCAUGGCUCACCUAGGCGACGAUCCCUAGCUGGUCUGAGAGGAUGAUCAGCAGCACGGGGACUGAGACACGGCCCAGACUCCUACGGAGGCAGCAGUGGGGAAUAUUGCACAAUGGGCGCAAGCCUGAUGCAGCGAGGCCGCGUGUAUGAAGAAGGCCCUAGGGUUGUAAAGUACGUUCAGUCGGGAGGCGUUACCGACAGAAGAAGCACCGGCUAACUCCGUGCCAGCAGCCGCGGUAAUAC
rnacentral:rRNA from 1 species